rnacentral:sRNA from 1 species
AUAAGUUACGAAACCGAUGAUUUAUAUACCUAAAGUUCUGUAUAUACUCU